GACGAACGCUGGCGGCGUGCUUAACACAUGCAAGUCGAACGGAAAGGCCUCUGCUUGCAGGGGUGCUCGAGUGGCGAACGGGUGAGUAACACGUGGGUGAUCUGCCUUGUACUCUGGGAUAAGCUUGGGAAACUGGGUCUAAUACCGGAUAGGAACUGCCUUUAGUGUGGUGGUUGGAAAGUUUUUUCGGUGCAAGAUGAGCUCGCGGCCUAUCAGCUUGUUGGUGGGGUAAUGGCCUACCAAGGCGUCGACGGGUAGCCGGCCUGAGAGGGUGUACGGCCACAUUGGGACUGAGAUACGGCCCAGACUCCUACGGGAGGCAGCAGUGGGGAAUAUUGCACAAUGGGCGGAAGCCUGAUGCAGCGACGCCGCGUGGGGGAUGACGGCCUUCGGGUUGUAAACUCCUUUCGACAGGGACGAAGCUUUUUGUGACGGUACCUGUAUAAGAAGCACCGGCUAACUACGUGCCAGCAGCCGCGGUAAUACGUAGGGUGCGAGCGUUGUCCGGAAUUACUGGGCGUAAAGAGCUCGUAGGUGGUUUGUCGCGUCGUCUGUGAAAUUCCGGGGCUUAACUCCGGGCGUGCAGGCGAUACGGGCAUAACUUGAGUGCUGUAGGGGAGACUGGAAUUCCUGGUGUAGCGGUGAAAUGCGCAGAUAUCAGGAGGAACACCGAUGGCGAAGGCAGGUCUCUGGGCAGUUACUGACGCUGAGGAGCGAAAGCAUGGGUAGCGAACAGGAUUAGAUACCCUGGUAGUCCAUGCCGUAAACGGUGGGCGCUAGGUGUAGGGGGCUUCCACGUCUUCUGUGCCGUAGCUAACGCAUUAAGCGCCCCGCCUGGGGAGUACGGCCGCAAGGCUAAAACUCAAAGGAAUUGACGGGGGCCCGCACAAGCGGCGGAGCAUGUGGAUUAAUUCGAUGCAACGCGAAGAACCUUACCUGGGCUUGACAUACACCAGAUCGCUGCAGAGAUGUAGUUUCCCUUGUGGUUGGUGUACAGGUGGUGCAUGGUUGUCGUCAGCUCGUGUCGUGAGAUGUUGGGUUAAGUCCCGCAACGAGCGCAACCCUUGUUCACUGUUGCCAGCACGUUAUGGUGGGGACUCAGUGGAGACCGCCGGGGUCAACUCGGAGGAAGGUGGGGAUGACGUCAAGUCAUCAUGCCCCUUAUGUCCAGGGCUUCACGCAUGCUACAAUGGCUGGUACAGAGAGUGGCGAGCCUGUGAGGGUGAGCGAAUCUCGGAAAGCCGGUCUCAGUUCGGAUUGGGGUCUGCAACUCGACCUCAUGAAGUCGGAGUCGCUAGUAAUCGCAGAUCAGCAACGCUGCGGUGAAUACGUUCCCGGGGCU
rnacentral:rRNA from 1 species